UACGUAGGGGGCAAGCGUUGUCCGGAUUUAUUGGGCGUAAAGCGCUCGCAGGUGGUUCGUCGCGUCGUGCGUGAAAGACCCCGGCUCAACUGGGGAGGGUCGUGCGAUACGGGCGGACUGGAGGCCAGUAGGGGGAUGCGGAAUUCCGGGUGUAGUGGUGGAAUGCGUAGAGAUCCGGAGGAACACCAGCGGCGAAGGCGGCAUCCUGGACUGGACCUGACACUCAGGAGCGAAAGCGUGGGGAGCGAGCCGG
rnacentral:rRNA from 1 species